rnacentral:rRNA from 1 species
UAGGGAAUCUUCCACAAUGGACGCAAGUCUGAUGGAGCAACGCCGCGUGAGUGAAGAAGGCUUUCGGGUCGUAAAACUCUGUUAUUGAAGAAGAACGUGCGUGACAGUAACUGGUCAUGCAGUGACGGUAUUCAAUCAGAAAGUCACGGCUAACUACGUGCCAGCAGCCGCGGUAAAUACGUAGGUGGCAAGCGUUGUCCGGAUUUAUUGGGCGUAAAGCGAGUGCAGGCGGUCUUUUAAGUCUGAUGUGAAAGCCUUCGGCUUAACCGAAGAAGGCAUCGGAAACUGG